CAACCAUGGCUGAUAUUUCUGGCACAUCAGGUACUCGGUUAUUCUUCUGCGAGCUUUUAUGUGGCUGAAGGUUCAUUUGAGGAGCCAAUGGGGAGGGAGAGCCUUCAGAAACUAUGGCAGACGUACAAGGUUGAUAUUGCAGUAUAUGGUUAUGUGCACAGUUAUGAAAGGACGUGUCCCAUUUUCCAGGGGAUUUGGAAUGCCUAGCCAUAUGAUGUUGUUCAGAGCACAUAAAAAAGGAGUUAAUCCUGGCAUCCACCUUAUCAGCGACAACAUUUGCUGAAAAUGUUAAAACUGCAAAGGCAGAGCACUGGUUGUGGAAAAUGGGAGCACGGUCGAAUCUUCUUUAGAUUCCAUAGUUGUUGCUAUCGUUGGAACUCACAAACCCAUCAUCUUCAGCUGGCUUUCCUCUCUUGUUCUUAAUUCAGUUUCUUCUUCUGAGAUUCUUGAUUGAAUUAUGAUGCUGUGUGUGAUGAAAGAAAUAAAACUGAGGUUGGCAAUUCUUCUGGUUUUUGCAAGCCUUGAAAAAGGCAAGUUCGCACGGGGAGCAGCCUCUUUCAAGAAUUUGUAUUCAUAAGGAAGGCAACCUUUGCUCUUCAUGACCUUGCUUAUAUUCAAGCCUCACCUACAGUUGUAGGAUUAAGGAAUGGGUGACGUUGGAAUUUGGUUCUGCAAAACCUAUCAGUUGAUGAUUGUAUUGGAAUCUUUUCUCCUGCUAAUUUCAGUGCUUCCACCUGCUGCCCUGAGGAAAAUCCAAGAGUUUCUGCCCCUCAUUUUUGUGUUCUUCACCUAUCAAGGUUGUACAUUGUUUCUUCCCAGUGUAAAAAAAAGAGCUACAGAACAGAAGUGAGUGACGUGAAAGUGUUUCCUUUUCCAGUUUCAGUAUGCAGAUUACUCGGCUCCUGAGUACAAAGUACAAAGACACCAGAAAAGGUUUCUUAAAGCUUCAGCUGAUCAACCAGAGAUGGGACUUCUCUUUGGCGCUAUUCUCUGGUGGUUUAUUGAAUGUAUGCUGAGAACUGUCUUGAUUAUAUAUUCUGCAAAGUCAUGUGGUAACUAGUUUGUCUUGCGGACCAAGUAGUAAAGAAUUCGUUGUUGUUAUGCUUGGCUUUGUUGUUUUGUUUUUCUUUUUUGAAGGAGAAGAUUUAGAUUAUUGAGUGUUUAGGUACAAAUUGUGAUUCCUUCUGAUAGCAGCAGCUUGAUGGAUUAUAUAAUACAAACUGAAUCAUAU